GAUUUAAGAGCACGGAAAUGCUCUACUUGUGAUGAUAGUUGAUGCAGAUCUGUGCAAUUGCCAAUAGAGUACCUUGCAACUCCACACUUAGUCUGACAAAAUGAUGAUGUCAGCCUCACGGCUUCGGUUCCAUGUCUCGAUAGAGCUUGUGAAUAGCUCGCACUACUAUCAUCUCAAGCGAUGGUAGCAUAGGGCCCAGAUGACCCUUUUUGUUGGAGGCAUGGAUGAGGAAUUUCUUAUUGUUGCUACCGUCCGUCCCAAUGCAGCCGCUAUCACCGCUCCAACCUCGGCUUUGAUGCCAGUCUGAAACUACAAAAUUCUUCCUGUUUAAAAACAUAGCAGUCAUAUUCACAACAUGACAAAUGUUUUUGUAAGACAUGCUAUUGUAGUUAGCCUUUAUUUUCAUCCCUGAGCGAUCACCCAAGUCUAGACCAUCAGGGAUGGGAGAGCCUAUCCAAGCAAGGCACACAAUACCAUUUCUUCCAGUGAACGAAUGAAAAAGUAGGGCUCUAUGGACCAACAUUAUAUUUACUGCUUCAUAUUCCUCUACUUUCACUAUCGGUGAAUUGCGUAUAGAACUUGAUCUUGGAGGUGGACUGGGGCUCUAUGGUGCUAGCUAGCUCUUCCAUUUUUAGAUAAAGUUGCUUGUUCUUCUUCAGGUCUCCUGCCAUAAACCAUGGAUGGCCUUUCUACACAACAAGUAUACAUAUGGGUUAAGCAUACAGUAGUGGCAGCAGCAGCAGCAUACAAAGCUACAAAUAGUAAAACCUAGAACAACAAAGUGGUAGGGUAGCAGAUGGUGUUUCCAAACUUCAAAGAAUUAUGUUACGUCACUUCAAAUCUUGUAUUGUAGUGUAUUUCACCAUUUAGAAGAGAGGACAAAAAUGCUUAUCAAUGUUUCUUACUGAACUAUCAUUUUAGAUAUCUUGUGUUUAAACUUUGCUAAUGGCAGAAUCCAGGAUGGAUUACUUGUGGUACUAAACAGAUAAUGGGGUUGUAACUGUUAUGUAUAUGAUGCUAACCACAUGCUUUGAUAGAAUCUUCAGAAGCUAGAAAAAAAUAGAAUGAGUUUCCCAUAUAUUGGAGGUUCAAUCUAACAAAAAAUCUCGGUUCUAAAAUGUAACAGGAGAACACAUUAACUUAACUGGAUAAUAGCACAUGAAUUAGGUAUUAUGCACAGUA
rnacentral:lncRNA from 1 species